CCGGGGCGGGCCUCAGGUGGGAGCGCUCUCGCGGCGCCUAGAGGAGGGAGACUGGUGGUGAAUGCGCGCUGUUCCAGUUAGCGUAGGGGCCCUCAAUCAGGAGGAGGAAAAUACUGUCAGCAAAACAGUGAAGGCAGUCAGCUGAUUGAUGUUCUGCAGGCCAGUGAGACCUCCUAAAAGGAACGAGGGCGUCAGGAAGAAAGGUUGGACAAAGAUAACGGGGGAUAACAAAGUGGAAAGGAAAGGGAAGUAUUUGAAAACUCUAGAAGAAGAAAGGGAACAGGAGGUACUUGGUGUCCAGAAAGCUUUUGCUUAAACUGUAGAGAAAGCAUCGGAAUCCGUUUUCCUUUCUACUACAGUACAAGGGUGCAUAUGAAUCGUCACCACUGAUGCUGGAAAUUCCCCGACACGAGUUCCUCUGUGACCUAGCAGCAGCAGCAGCAAAGACAUGCACGCGUCCCCCAUUUGCUCCCCUGUAGCUGUCGGUGUUCCACGACCAGAUGCUCCAGUGCAGCCAAGGGCGCGGUGGGCGCAAAAAAUCAGUGCCCUGAAAGCCACCACUGAAAUUAAGUGUUGCUUGUGGGCACCAGUCAAGUGACUUUCUAAGGGGCGGGGUAACAGGAACUACCAAGCGAAUGAGGUGGAGCGUUUGACGGGAAGUGACACAGUGGCCACACGGUGGCGCAGGAUGAUGAGCGACUGACUCCGUUCUGCACGAGGGCCCAUCAUUGAUGCCCUUGAAAGCUCUCUUUGCAAACACUCGUGUCUUCUUCCGCAUUCCACAAUCUGCGGCCUUUUCCCCCCCGCAGUCCCUCUUUCCUUUCGUAAUGUCCCAGUUCCCAUGGUUACGAUGGUGGAUUCCUUUUCUCCGGGUUGACCCUGAGUGCUGGCCUGUACUCGGCAACCCCCUGCUUCUGGAAAGCGGUUCCUCCAGUGAAAUCUGCAAGACCAGUGGAAGCUGAGCAAGGCAGGGGGCAGCCCGACCCCCUCCUCCCCCUCCCCCCUCAUUUCCCCCAUCAGGUUAGGGUCUGGGAGUGCGGCUUAAAGCUGCUGGCAUGCUUUAUGUCACCUUCACAAAUUUCCUGAGUGGCGUCACCCUGAGUUUUUCAUAUAUGAUCUUUUACAGAGGACAGAGAUGUGGGCAUUGAAAUUGGGAGAGAACCACCAAACCACCAGGGGCCUUCUCUGCAAAGCCCUGGGUACUGUCCCACUCUGGAAGGAGGCAACCCUACAUGGCACCCCGAACUCUGCCUUGAUUGUCCCCACAUCUGGGUGGAUGAGGAGCCCCCCGGGAGGCUCAGACAUCUCGAAUGGAGAGUUAUCUUCUUCCCCGUCUUCCUCAAAAUGAAGCCUGUUGUAGAAAGUCCCCGCUGGCUCCAGGAACACGUCAGCCACCACACCUUUGCCGUCUACCCUCUUCAAAACUCAGUUUGCGUCAGGGCUUAUCCCAAACGUAGAUUCAUUUAGAAAAUACAGCUCACUGAUGUGUAACUAAAAAUACAUAAAUACGCCCCCAAAGCAAAGUCUAAACAGAUGUCCCACUCUGUCCCCCUUCAGAUAAAAAGUGACCCAUCUCUUUCAAAGAGGGGGGAGAAGCUGGGCUAAGUAAGAAUAAAACAUUGGGAAGUGGGGAGAGGAAGGGCGUGUUUUGUUUCUCCUUGAGGGACAGGAGCAAACCCUAGGAGUGGAAUGCAGCCGCCUCCAAGGCCCCGGGGGAGUGUCCCUGAGACCCUACACGUUGCUCCCAGCCACUCCCCAGAAGACAGAACAGUGAGCCUGUGCCCUCUACACCAUCUGAGAACCCCCUCUCUCCAGGCAGGUGCUGCUUGCAUGCACACCCACCCCCGAGGAAAGGGGCAGGGGGCCCCCCUCUGUGCAGAGAUUCGGGGACUGAAUAGGAGCUCAGACGUGGAAACAGGACAGGAAAAGAGAUUUUCUUCAAGAAAACCAGACAAGCAGAGACAUGGAAAUAUGAAAGCAGAUUUUACGUCCAGAGAAAUAAAUACGCUAAAUUGAUUUCAUCGUAACCUCGUGUUAUUCCUGUGAUGGAACGUGACCCCGGAAUGAGAGAAUAGAAGUCAAAAGUGCUUUGUGCGGAUCAAGCGGCAGAGACGCAGAGAGCCUCAAUCCCACUCGGGUAUCAGGGCUCAGCGAGAUACCGUGUCUGUGGUUGUUCAGCAGACACCGAGAGCCUUGGUCAAAUACUUGGCGGUAACUGUAAUAAAAUGUCUCCUGGUUCAGGGGCCCUCACCUAUAUAAUAUAAAGUUUCCGUAGAGUAGAAUUGGGAAGAAGUUUUGUCUCAUUUCCUGUGUCACCCAAUUCCAGGCCAACCAUCUCCAUUCCUUCAUGGGCUGUCUCAGCCUUGCCACCGGCCACUUUCUAUGGUUCCAAACCAUUUCCCUGAAUCCCAGGACACGGCCAACAUACUGGCCUCAGGGAGGCAGGAAUGUCUCUUUCUAUUGUGUCAGUAGCAUGAAUAAAGACCCCUCCCUUAAUCCCAUACAGCAUCUUUGAGACCAGGCUGAAAUAUUUGAUAGAACUUUACUGACAGCGAGACUGUUGUGUAUGAAGCAUAUGAAAGACAAAUGAGGGAUUACGUCACAUGAUCCUAUUAUCCCCCACCCCCACCCCCAUUCUUGAGAACCGAGGUUCUUGGUCACAAAGAAAGGUGACACAAAUAUAAAAGACAAAGUUAAAACGCUGUGAUGCUGAGUUUGAAAUAGAGAAGUAUCAGGGCACCUGAGUGGUUCAGUCGGUUAAGCUUCUGACUGGAUUUCAGCUCAGGUCAUGAUCUCGCAGUUCGGUUUGUAAGUUCGAGCCCUGCGUCGGGCUCUGCGGUGAUAGUGCAGAG